rnacentral:rRNA from 1 species
GUAGGGUGCGAGCGUUAAUCGGAAUUACUGGGCGUAAAGGGUGCGCAGGCGGCCCCGCAAGUCAGACGUGAAAUCCCCGGGCUCAACUUGGGAAUGGCGUUUGAAACUACGGGGCUGGAGUGUGGCAGAGGGAGGUGGAAUUCCACGUGUAGCGGUGAAAUGCGUAGGGAUGUGGAGGAACACCGAUGGCGAAGGCAGCCUCCUGGGCCAACACUGACGCUCAUGCACGAAAGCGUGGGGAGCAAACAGGAUUAGAUACCCUGGUAGUCCACGCCCUAAACGAUGAUGACUAGUUGUUGGAGGAGUUAAAUCCUUUAGUAACGCAGCUAACGCGUGAAGUCAUCCGCCUGGGGAGUACGGUCGCAAGAUUA